rnacentral:rRNA from 1 species
UACAGAGGUCUCAAGCGUUGUUCGGAUUCAUUGGGCGUAAAGGGUGCGUAGGCGGCGCGGUAAGUCGGGUGUGAAAUCUCGGAGCUUAACUCCGAAACUGCAUUCGAUACUGCCGUGCUUGAGGACUGGAGAGGAGACUGGAAUUUACGGUGUAGCGGUGAAAUGCGUAGAUAAUCAGGAGGAACACCGGUGGCGAAGGCGGGUCUCUGGGUAACAACUGACGCUGAGGAGCGAAAGCGUGGGGAGCGAA